rfam:Myotis brandtii contig185884, whole genome shotgun sequence.
GCGCCCACUGUGUGCCUAUUGUUCUGUGGAAUGAUACAGAGAAAAUUAGCAUGGCCCUACACAAGGAUGACACUCAAAUUUGUGAAGUGUUUUGUGGCGUUUUU